ensembl:misc_RNA Y_RNA Y RNA
GGCUGGUUCGAUGGCAGUGGGUUAUCAGAACUUAUUAAUAUUAGUGUCACUAAAGUUGGUAUACCACCCCCCUCCACUGCUAAAUUUGACUGGCUUAAA